UACGGGGGGGGCAAGCGUUGUUCGGAAUUACUGGGCGUAAAGGGCUCGUAGGCGGCCAACUAAGUCGGAUGUGAAAUCCCCAGGCUUAACCUGGGAACUGCAUCCGAUACUGGAUGGCUUGAAUCCGGGAGAGGGAUGCAGAAUUCCAGGUGUAGCGGUGAAAUGCGUAGAUAUCAGGAGGAACACCGGCGGCGAAGGCGGCACUCUGGGCCGGUACUGACGCUGAGGAGCGAAAGCGUGGGUAGCAAACAGG
rnacentral:rRNA from 1 species